UGAAGAUUUACGGAGCAAUUUCUCUCCAAACGAUUUCCUCCCUCCCACUGUUAGAGAGGGCUCCAGGAAUGGCCAGGGCAGUGCCUGUAUUUUGUUCUACCAGGCUGUGAUCUGCCAGCGUUUUAUGAGAGCUGACGUCAAACCAGGAAGGAGGCACCCAUAGCAUCUGCAAAUGCAGGGGCUCAAGCUGCGGAUCUUGGCGCUCCACCCAGCCUCCACCAAAUAGCCCCAAAGCCAUGUCCACAUACCUCUCAGGGCUUCACCUGUGCCAAAUAGAAGUUCCC